UGACAAAGUUAACGAAGAUGACUCCUGC
rnacentral:piRNA from 1 species